rnacentral:rRNA from 1 species
GAAGAAUCCAGAGAUGGAUUUGUGCCUUCGGGAACUGUGAGACAGGUGCUGCAUGGCUGUCGUCAGCUCGUGUUGUGAAAUGUUGGGUUAAGUCCCGCAACGAGCGCAACCCUUAUCCUUUGUUGCCAGCGGUCCGGCCGGGAACUCAAAGGAGACUGCCAGUGAUAAACUGGAGGAAGGUGGGGAUGACGUCAAGUCAUCAUGGCCCUUACGACCAGGGCUACACACGUGCUACAAUGGCGCAUACAAAGAGAAGCGACCUCGCGAGAGCAAGCGGACCUCAUAAAGUGCGUCGUAGUCCGGAUUGGAGUCUGCAACUCGACUCCAUGAAGUCGGAAUCGCUAGUAAUCGUGGAUCAGAAUGCCACGGUGAAUACGUUCCCGGGCCUUGUACACACCGCCCGUCACACCAUGGGAGUGGGUUGCAAAAGAAGUAGGUAGCUUAACCUUCGGGAGGGCGCUUACCACUUUGUGAUUCAUGACUGGGGUGAAGUCGUAACAAGGUAACCGUAGGGGAACCUGCGGUUGGA